rnacentral:rRNA from 1 species
GUUGGUGAACCAGCGGAGGGAUCAUUACUGAGUUUACGCUCUAUAACCCUUUGUGAACAUACCUAUAACUGUUGCUUCGGCGGGUAGGGUCUCCGCGACCCUCCCGGCCUCCCGCCUCCGGGCGGGUCGGCGCCCGCCGGAGGAUAACCAAACUCUGAUUUAACGACGUUUCUUCUGAGUGGUACAAGCAAAUAAUCAAAACUUUUAACAACGGAUCUCUUGGUUCUGGCAUCGAUGAAGAACGCAGCGAAAUGCGAUAAGUAAUGUGAAUUGCAGAAUUCAGUGAAUCAUCGAAUCUUUGAACGCACAUUGCGCCCGCCAGCAUUCUGGCGGGCAUGCCUGUUCGAGCGUCAUUUCAACCCUCAAGCUCUGCUUGGUGUUGGGGCCCUACAGCUGAUGUAGGCCCUCAAAGGUAGUGGCGGACCCUCCCGGAGCCUCCUUUGCGUAGUAACUUUACGUCUCGCACUGGGAUCCGGAGGGACUCUUGCCGUAAAACCCCCCAAUUUUCCAAAGGUUGACCUCGGAUCAGGUAGGAAUACCCGCUGAACUUAAGCAUAUCAAUA